rnacentral:rRNA from 1 species
CGCNGCUAGNGGUGUGGGNCACUCUCUCUAUAAACAUGCAAGUNCGAACGAUGAAGCCCUUCGGGGUGGAUUAGUGGCGAACGGGUGAGUAACACGUGGGCAAUCUGCCCUUCACUCUGGGACAAGCCCUGGAAACGGGGUCUAAUACCGGAUAACACUCUGUCCCGCAUGGGACGGGGUUAAAAGCUCCGGCGGUGAAGGAUGAGCCCGCGGCCUAUCAGCUUGUUGGUGGGGUAAUGGCCUACCAAGGCGACGACGGGUAGCCGGCCUGAGAGGGCGACCGGCCACACUGGGACUGAGACACGGCCCAGACUCCUACGGGAGGCAGCAGUGGGGAAUAUUGCACAAUGGGCGAAAGCCUGAUGCAGCGACGCCGCGUGAGGGAUGACGGCCUUCGGGUUGUAAACCUCUUUCAGCAGGGAAGAAGCGAAAGUGACGGUACCUGCAGAAGAAGCGCCGGCUAACUACGUGCCAGCAGCCGCGGUAAUACGUAGGGCGCAAGCGUUGUCCGGAAUUAUUGGGCGUAAAGAGCUCGUAGGCGGCUUGUCACGUCGGAUGUGAAAGCCCGGGGCUUAACCCCGGGUCUGCAUUCGAUACGGGCUAGCUAGAGUGUGGUAGGGGAGAUCGGAAUUCCUGGUGUAGCGGUGAAAUGCGCAGAUAUCAGGAGGAACACCGGUGGCGAAGGCGGAUCUCUGGGCCAUUACUGACGCUGAGGAGCGAAAGCGUGGGGGAGCGAACAGGAUUAGAUACCCUGGUAGUCCACGCCGUAAACGUUNGGNACUAGGUGUNGCGACAUUNCACGUCGUCGGNGCCGNANCUACGCAUAANUUCCCCNCUGGGGAAUCNGGCGCAGGCUAAACUNAANGANUGACGGGGCCCCCCAACACGGGACAUGGGNUUANUUGACCACNGANAACUUNCAGGNUGANUUNCCGNAAAAUAAAANGGNCCCCUNGGGCGNUCCGGGGGCUG